UAAAGUGGCGAACGGCUGAGUAACACGUGGGCAACCUGCCCUUUGCACUGGGAUAGCCUCGGGAAACCGAGGUUAAUACCGGAUACUCCAUAUUUGUCGCAUGGCGAAUAUGGGAAAGCUCCGGCGGCAAAGGAUGGGCCCGCGGCCUGUUAGCUAGUUGGUGGGGUAGUGGCCUACCAAGGCAAUGAUGGGUAGCCGGGUUGAGAGACCGACCGGCCAGAUUGGGACUGAGACACGGCCCAGACUCCUACGGGAGGCAGCAGNU
rnacentral:rRNA from 1 species